UCUGGAUGCAGUGGUGCACACCUGUAAUCUCAGUGACUUGGGAGGCUGAGGCAGGAGGCUCAUGAGUUUGAGACCAACCUCAGCAAUUUAGUGAGACCCUGCCUCAA
rnacentral:sRNA from 1 species